UACGAAGGGGGCUAGCGUUGUUCGGAUUUACUGGGCGUAAAGCGCACGUAGGCGGAUCGAUCAGUCAGGGGUGAAACCCCAGGGCUCAACCCUGGAACUGCCUUUGAUACUGUCGAUCUGGAGUAUGGAAGAGGUGAGUGGAAUUCCGAGUGUAGAGGUGAAAUUCGUAGAUAUUCGGAGGAACACCAGUGGCGAAGGCGGCUCACUGGUCCAUUACUGACGCUGAGGUGCGAAAGCGUGGGGAGCAAACAGG
rnacentral:rRNA from 1 species